UAUCAUCACCAUUAUCAUAUCAUUGUCAUCAUCAUUGCCAUCACAAUCACCAUCAUCAUCGCCAUAGAGAGCCCCCCUCUGGAACCGCUGCUUCCAUUCUUUCUUUUACUACAGCCAAGGCACCAGAAGCCUGACUCUUCCUUUGGGCCUAGAUUUGCUUCCUUGCCUGGAAUAGCUUUGAAUCAAGACUUACCCCAAGACCUGGGCCCAAGGUUUACCUUGCUCCUGAUCAGCCUUCUGCUGAAAAAACUGAAGCCCAGAAAUUGAAGCCACUCUAUGGUGGUCACACCGUGAGCAGUAGGGGUCAAACUCAGGUGCUCGAUACCAGCUGUCACCUUCACCUGUAGGCUACACCAGCUGAAGACUCCCGCUGCCAUCGUCUCUCUUGACACACUGUUGUCAUUGUCGGUGGUGUCUAUCCAUGACUGACUCCCCAUUUCCUUUCAGCUUUACCCAGGACAGUGCUGGAGCCCGGUCACCCAAGAGAGCAGAUCCGUGUGUGGCUCUUCUGAAUCCUAGGAUUGUUAAAUAUUUACCAGCUCACAGCUGGCUACACUGGCUUGUUUCAUUGUGUGUAGAGGCAAGCAUUGUUAUCUAUGAAGAUCGCUUCAGCAUAGGAGAGGGGCCUGGGCCCACAGGCUACAGAAGCACGGUGAAAGGAAAUGAGCGCACUGAGCUGAGCACACCAGUACAGUGGAGUGCAGGACUGUGCCUA